UACGUAGGGGGCAAGCGUUGUCCGGAAUCAUUGGGCGUAAAGCGCGUGUAGGCGGCUUCGUAAGUCCGUUGUGAAAGUCCAGGGCUCAACCCUGGAAUGCCGAUGGAUACUGCGGAGCUAGAGUCCGGAAGAGGCGAGUGGAAUUCCUGGUGUAGCGGUGAAAUGCGCAGAUAUCAGGAGGAGCACCAAUGGCGAAGGCAGCUCGCUGGGCCGAUACUGACGCUGAGGAGCGAAAGCGUGGGGAGCGAACAGG
rnacentral:rRNA from 1 species